AUGUCAGCAUCCAGCUGAUUUACUGUGUUCGAUGAGGGACCAGAGUACAAUGGCUGCAAAUAGCAGCUUCCUUGGUAGUGGAUGCAUGUAGUCUGUUGCUUGUACAGGCUACCCUAUGGGGCCUUGGAGACUGUU
ensembl:snoRNA SNORA70 Small nucleolar RNA SNORA70